rnacentral:rRNA from 1 species
GACGAACGCUGGCGGCGUGCUUAACACAUGCAAGUCGAACGGAAAGGCCCUGCUUUUGUGGGGUGCUCGAGUGGCGAACGGGUGAGUAACACGUGAGUAACCUGCCCUUGACUUUGGGAUAACUUCAGGAAACUGGGGCUAAUACCGGAUAGGAGCUCCUGCUGCAUGGUGGGGGUUGGAAAGUUUCGGCGGUUGGGGAUGGACUCGCGGCUUAUCAGCUUGUUGGUGGGGUGGUGGCUUACCAAGGCUUUGACGGGUAGCCGGCCUGAGAGGGUGACCGGCCACAUUGGGACUGAGAGACGGCCCAGACUCCUACGGGAGGCAGCAGUGGGGAAUAUUGCACAAUGGGCGGAAGCCUGAUGCAGCAACGCCGCGUGCGGGAUGACGGCCUUCGGGUUGUAAACCGCUUCCGCCUGUGACGAAGCGUGAGUGACGGUAAUGGGUAAAGAAGCACCGGCUAACUACGUG